AUGGGGAAACCCUGACGCAGCAACGCCGCGUGGAGGAUGAAGCCCUUUGGGGUGUAAACUCCUUUCGAUCGGGAAGAUUAUGACGGUACCGAUAUAAGAAGCCCCGGCUAACUUCGUGCCAGCAGCCGCGGUAAUACGAGGGGGGCGAGCGUUGUUCGGAAUUAUUGGGCGUAAAGGGUGCGUAGGCGGUUUGGCAAGUCUUAUGUGAAAUCUAUGGGCUCAACCCAUAGUCUGCAUGAGAAACUGCCGGGCUUGAGUAUGGGAGAGGUGAGUGGAAUUUCCGGUGUAGCGGUGAAAUGCGUAGAUAUCGGAAGGAACACCUGUGGCGAAAGCGGCUCACUGGACCAUAACUGACGCUGAGGCACGAAAGCUAGGGGAGCAAACAGGAUUAGAUACCCUGGUAGUCCUAGCCCUAAACGAUGAUUGCUUGAUGUGGCAGGUACCCAAUCCUGCUGUGUCGAAGCUAACGCGAUAAGCAAUCCGCCUGGGGAAKMCGGUCGCAGGC
rnacentral:rRNA from 1 species